AGAUUGAACGCUGGCGGCAUGCUUUACACAUGCAAGUCGAACGGUAACAGGCCGCAAGGUGCUGACGAGUGGCGAACGGGUGAGUAAUGCAUCGGAACGUGCCCAGUCGUGGGGGAUAACGCAGCGAAAGCUGUGCUAAUACCGCAUACGAUCUAUGGAUGAAAGGCGGGGGACCGAAAGGCCUCGCGCGAUUGGAGCGGCCGAUGUCAAGAUUAGCUAGUUGGUGGGGUAAAGCCCACCGAAGGCGACGAUCUGUAGCUGGUACUGAGAGGACGACCAGGCCACACUGGAACUGAGACACGGGUCCAGACCUCGUACGGGAGCAGCAGGUGGGGUAAUUUUGGGACUAAGUGGGACGUACGAAGCCUGAAC
rnacentral:rRNA from 1 species